rnacentral:rRNA from 1 species
UGAGGAAUAUUGGUCAAUGGGGGAAACCCUGACGCAGCAACGCCGCGUGAGUGAGGAAGGCCUUCGGGUCGUAAAGCUCUGUCAGAUGGGAAGAAAUGGGUGGGGGUGAAUAUCGUCCACCCUUGACGGUACCAUCCGAGGAAGCACCGGCUAACUCCGUGCCAGCAGCCGCGGUAAUACGGGGGGUGCAAGCGUUGUUCGGAAUCAUUGGGCGUAAAGCGCGCGCAGGCGGCUUGGUAAGUCAGAUGUGAAAGCCCUGGGCUUAACCCAGGAAGUGCAUUUGAUACUGCCUCGCUAGAGUACGGGAGAGGAAAGUGGAAUUCCUGGUGUAGAGGUGAAAUUCGUAGAUAUCAGGAGGAACACCGGUGGCGAAGGUGACUUUCUGGCCCGAUACUGACGCUCAGGCGCGAAAGCGUGGGGAGCAAACAG